AUGCUCGCGCAGCAAGGGUGAUUCUUGGCAGAACGGGUAUAAUAACCGUGCCGGAGGCUUCUACUGGUGGUUUUCAGAAGAGCCACUAAUGAUUUAAUGAAUGUUUUAAAGGGGUUGGGUGCCUUUGUAACUCAGUUCCUCCUCUAAUACAAUCCUUUUCCCCAUAGAGCGCACACCCAGUGCUGAAAAAUCGCUGUGGGUCACGUGGCGAAAGGUGUGUCCGUUUCGCUGCCAGACUCACACCUGUCGGGCGGUGCCUCGGGAAGAGGCGUCACCCACGCGCUCGAUCGCCGGCCGGCCGGGCUGAGUCCUCUGCAUCAUGAGAUGACUCUCCAGGCAAUGGGAAGCUCCUAAUGUAACAUGGCAGUUCUUUACGAUUACAUCCGACUGUUAGGAGUCUUUUUCAGCCAUUCGGGAGGUAUACUGUCCCGGGAGGAUACCGGAGUUCACUAAAGUGGUCUCGUCGACUUGUUGGAAGCUUACGUUUUGUUUUUGAUCUUUCCGAAUAUCUUGAGUUUCAUUAUGGCUCUGUCCCAAAUUCAAUGCCUGGACGAUAAUAACGUGAACCCGCGGACAAACGAGUCUAAACCGGAUUUCUUGUACAGCGAGGACCAGAGGCUUGCCCUGGAGGUUUUGCUCCGCGAAGGUCGCGACGCGUUCUUCAAGUUCGUGGAGGAACGCCAAAUGCGGAGUUUCCUUUCGGACCUGGAGCUGGAAACUCUCACGAAGACGGUGGAACCCUAUGACCCCGGUUCGGAGCUCUUCCCGGAGGAUGCCGAUGAAAACGAGCCCCCGCUGUCGGUGCACUACUGGCCGGAGUUGUCGGACAUUUCCAUCCCGCAGAUGGACUUGGGCUGGCCGCACACUGAUGCUUACCGCGGGGUGACGCGCACCACCGUGUACACGCAACCGCCGCUGGAGGGGCAGACCCACAUCAAGGAGAUUGUCCGAAGGAUGAUCGCUCAUGCGCAAAAGAUGAUUGCUGUCGUAAUGGAUGUCUUCACCGAUGUGGACAUCUUCAGAGAUUUGCUCGACGCUGGUUUUCGGAGGAAGGUUGCUAUCUACAUCCUGUUGGAGAGCACGUCAUUACCUCAUUUCCUGUCAAUGUGUCAGCGGGCUAACAUGCACGCUGGACAUCUCAAGCACCUUCGGGUACGCUGCACAGAGGGAAUGGAGUUCUACACUCGUUCCUGCACCAAGGUGAAAGGUCAACUGGGACACAGAUUCAUGUUCAUCGAUGGAGACAAAGCCGUGUCCGGGUCUUUUAGUUUCACCUGGACAUCCUCACGACUGGACAAAAAUCUUGUCACCGUGGUUACCGGGCAGGCAGUGGAAGCCUUUGAUCAACUCUUUCGCCACCUUUACGCGAGCUCGACAUUUGUUGAUCUGCAACAAGUCACUAUGGAACCCGAGCCUGAGCGCGAGCCCCUUCCGCAGCUAACCCCCGUAGUCCUUCCUUCUGCGACUGUUACAAGGAAAUUGUACAACCCCAAGUACGCCUUACUUAUUGGAGACUCUACCUCUGCUGAACAAGACACCCCCAAAGAGUCCCAGACACCGGAGGUGCCAGACGCUAAGAAGAGAAAGCGAGGAAGAGGAAGUAAAGAACUUGUGCCAGAAGAGGACUGCACCCAUCCUGGACUGAUCAAUCUAGAGAAGGCAAACUUGAUCCCUUACUUGCCCACCUGGCCAGACCCCGACCCUGCCAGUGAUGUCAUUGGUUUCAUAAACAUCAUGGAUACGAGCAAGCCGACUCAAGUGCAUCUGCAACGCUCCGAGAGGUUUGAAACCAGUCAAGCCAUUCGCUUCACAAAUCCUCUGACCAUGCCGAAAGAACCCCCGCCAGAGGUUGCAAAGCCGAAAGAGAUUAGUUCUGCGAUUGAGGACAAGACAAAGCCUUCACCAUCACAAGAUCGGAUCAUGCCUUCAGAGUCUAUCUAUGACAGGUUGCAUCGAGUAGACUCCACCAAUACCAAAUCUGAGAAAGUUGAGCAACACUCGGUGACCUCUAGAUUUGAGCAGACUAUUCACAGAGUCUCACCAACCGGUCAAAAUGAAGGUCAGAUCACAAAACGCAUGUCGCCCUUGUCCGGCAACAUCGACCGCAUUAGUCGAAGCAGCGCCGGUAAUCUCGAGCACGCCUUGGAACAAAAGCUCAGAAUAGCACCACAAACGGAGACGAGUUCAUCUCUUGCUAAACAAGUCUCUAACCUGCCAAGUACCGGUGACUCAAACCUGGGAACAGAAUACACCGAAACGAAAACAACACCGCAUCUCACGCGAGCUAAUCAUACACAGCCAUUUAGCACUUCUAAAACUUCCCUGAAUAGUCACACUCAUGACACCUCCCACCUAUCCCCUUCCUCACCUUCAAGCCCAAAUCAUCCAACUCCGAAACCUCACACUGUCCAUUCAGCCACCAAAGAUAGGAGCAUCACUAAUGGCCUUGGCGCUCCAAAUACGAGCACUCAUAAGAAGUUGAACAGCCCGACCGCAGAUAGAGUCGCCAGCCACAAGUCCACUGGGGAAAACACGCAAGAGACAGUCCAUAAAACGCACGACAUUAUCAACAGAAAAACGGAAGUGCAGAAAGAUGACAGAACGAGUGGCGCCUUCCAGAAUAAACAAAAGGAAAGCGCUGCAGACAGUCAAAAUAAUGAAUCCGUCGGACUACAUGAUGGAAAGGGAGGAACUCCGGCGGGCUCCGGGAACACAAAACAAAUCCAGUCGGGUGCCUCGGCUACUUUAACACCAAAUAGAGACAAAAAAAUCACUUCAGGUGACAUCAAAACCGCGAAGCCAGUCGACCGUGACGGAAGUUCAAAACCACCGGACGACCUCGUCAAGGUUACGUCGAGACAGCUCACUGAUCCUAAAUCUCCCCAAACGCUGAAUGAAACCCAAUCGGAAAUGAAAACGUACCACAUCAAAGAAAACAAACCACAAAGAAUCACUUACAGUCAGAGUUCCCCGUUGACCAUGUGGGAGCGAAUUCAAGCUGCUACGGUCGGGCUGCCCAGCGAUGGCGUAGAUGACACAUCGGCACGAGUUCGUGAGACUACCGCAAAUUCGCCAAAGAAGAACACCCGAAGAGUCUCACAAGACGGCCCGCAAUCUCCAAAAGAAAAAACAGUCGCUCGCCAACCAGAGAAAGCCGUCCAAUCGGCAGAGAGACAAUUGGGGUCAACCGCGUCUGACAGACGCACUUCUGACGACUUCCCUCCAAGUUUACCUCCACCCGCGCUCUCUCCGGAGCUUCGAACGCCGACGUCAGACAUAAGUGACGGCUAUCGCUCAAGAGAAGACUCCAAUCGCUCCACAACCUCGGAGGACCAUGUUGGAUCCUGCGGUUCGCAAAGCAAAGAGCACGUCAUUGAUAGGGUGACGCACUCCGGUCACAGUACAGCAGAUCAUCGGAAUCCCGAGGACGACCAAAGCAAUAAAUCUAAUCAGGAUGCCACCAGUCCAAUGUUCAUAGACUACAGUGCGUAUGUUGCUUUGUUUGACAACAAAAACAAGCACGCCUCAAGCAAAGAAAGCCAGGGACUUGAGAGGAAAGUGAAAAUGAGGGAUAAGGAGGAUGUGAAAAGUAAAGACGGUGGAAUCCGAAAGACAUUAAAUCGAGAUUCCAAAGGGAAAGAGGGGCGAAACGGGAACGAGGAAUCAAAACCCAAACCGUUUGAGAAAGAAAAGGAGACCUCGAAUCAAGCUCUCCUGAGAAAGUCACGGACUCAGAGGGCACCGGGUUCCAGUAAUGCGGAGAACAGAGAUGGCUCAGCCAGAGAGGUUGCUGGUCAGAAGAGGUCCAGCCGGCGGGGCCGGCGCCUCGGCCAGAGAGGCCGCUCGGAGCGCGCCUUCGUCGGACUCGCAUGUGCGGGCGAGUGCACAGAAGUGGACUCGAAAAAAAUUGGGAGCACCGGAGCUACAAGACACAAGGUGGCCGAUCAUAGGGCCUCUUCCCCGGAUAUGCUUGUCGGGCAUUCCACUGGCUGCUGGAGAAAGUGGGCGUGUGUUUAGUCUGCAGGGGUGGCACGUGGGAUCGCUCCCUCAAUUUUAUACGGAUGAAAUUCAUGAAUACGUAUAAAAUUGAGGACCCGGUCGUUUUCUUGGACUGGGCGGAGCGAGAGGAAUGAACAGGAAUGCUCAGAGUUGGAUGAAUGGAG